AGGUAAUAAUAUCCGCUAAGAGUCGGUUUUUUGAUCCGUAGUUAACUCAACUAUUGGUUAAAAAUCCUUACUAAUAGUUAAAUAUCAGCAAAAUGCGUUUUUUGAUCCGUGGUAACAGCAUCCAAUGGUAAAAUAUCUAACCAUUUGUCAAAAAAGUUAACUACUCAGUAUCGGAGGGUUAAAAAGAUGGCCGCUGGUAAUUUAUAUAGUAACAGCUGUUUGUCACAGAAAUCAAACUAUGAUAAAUACGUUUAUUACUAUCUAAUGAUGAAUUUAAACAUAUUGAGAUACUUUAAUUAAUGAGACGAUGAAGAAGACGAUAAUAUUAUAUGAGAAUGUGUUAAUGAGUGACCAAAAAUAUUAAGGCAAUGUCAUCCGCCAUUAGAAACCUGGGAUGAUGUAGAUUUUUGUCACUGUUACUUCCUAUCGAAGGGAACAGUGCUCUGGAUUGUUACUGAAAUUGGGAAUGAUCUUAAACUGCCAAUGAACAAGAGUAUAUAUAGACAGCAGCUCAUACCAACCUAUUUUGCUUCAUUACUAGCUACAGAACCGCAGCAAAAUAUAAUUAAGUAUAUUACUAAUUCA